rnacentral:lncRNA from 1 species
UUAAUGGAGUUUCUUUCCACCUGUCCUCACACUGACUCUUGCAACCUGGGCCUCCCAAAAAGAAUCACACAGAAUCACAGAAUUGCAGGGGUUGGAAGGGUCUUCAAGAGAUCAUCGAGUCCAAGCGCCCUGCUAAGGCAGUUCCCUACAAUAGGUCACACAGGUAGGUGUUCAGAUGAAUCUUGAAUAUCUUCACAGGAGACUCCACCACCUCUCUGGGCAGCCUGUGCCACUGCUCCGUCACUCUUACCUUAAAGAAGUUCUCCCGCAUGUUUGUAUGAAACUUCUUAUGUUUGAGUUUUAGGCCAUUACUCCUUGUCCUAUCACUACACACCACCGAUAAGAGCCUGGCCUCAUCCAUUUGCCUCCCACCUCCCUUUAGAUAUUUAUGAACACUUAUCAGAUCCCCUCUCAGUCUUCUUUUCCCCAGGAAAAAAACCAUUUUUUUCACUUGUUUUCUUUUACAAAAAACUGCUGCAAAAAUCAUGAUGUAAUGAGACAAGGGCUGGGACAGGAUGGGGGACAGACACAUGUUGCAUUAUCCUAUUUGCACCCAUAAGAUUACAAAACUGCUGUUUUGCCUUUUUUCUCCCUGCAGUACAUUUCACCAUUACCGGGUGCACUUCAAGGAAAGAGGGAGAGGCAGAAGAAGCAGCAAGCCAAGGCAUCAGCUCCAGACUGCAAGGUGUGUGCCAGGGCUCAAAGAGGGCUGCUGCAGGAAAGGUGAAGCACUCAUCCUCCUGCCCAUGGAAUUGCCAGGGAACUGGGAUCACCAUGGAACGAGAUUCCCCACAGCAGUCACCCCACAGCUGCCCUCUUCAGCUGACAGAGUCUCCUGGUUGCCAAGGAAAGCUGCACCAGGACCAUUGCUGGCUGCAUGUCUGCUCAGAGCUCCCCAAUGUCUCCUCAAUUAAAACCUGAGAUCAAUACCCACUAAAACAUGCUUUUCAAACGUCUUUUUCCAGAGAGAGGAAUGCCUGUCUUUCAAAGCUGUUCUUUUCCAUAUAUACAAACUAGGGGCAAGCAAUGAGUUGCUAAAGUGCAUGUGUGUAUGUGCACAUACACAUACACAUGUAUAUGCAUCAGAAGGAGAAUUUGUUUUGAAGCCACAGUAAGGCACGUUAGCCAACACGUAUAUUAAAGGCAAGGAGCUAUAUUAACCAGGAGUGUCAGCACUGAGAGACCUGCAGGGAAGCAUCGCUCUCUCAUUUGAGUAAGAAGGAGCCUGCCAACUGCUGAAAGCAGCUUUCUGGCUCUUUCUCUACUAACACGGAAUUUUCUGUCUUUAAAGACAAGCCAUUCCCCACAAGGAUUUGCUAAAAAGGUGAAAACGUGCGGGAAGCAUUCCUCCUGCAACAAUGCUGCUGGACCCUGAUCACCUCAGCUGACCUUAGGUGUCUCUGCACUCCAGCCCUGUAUCUCAUCUCAGCUCAUUUUGCAACAGCUAC